rnacentral:snRNA from 1 species
GUGCUCACUUCGGCAGCACAUAUACUAAAAUUGGAACGAUACAGAGAAGAUUAGCACGGCCCCUGCGCAAGGAUGACACGCAAAUUCUAAUAGCUAGUGACAUUCAGCAUCUUU